rnacentral:tRNA from 1 species
CAAUGGUAAUUAGUUUAAACUAAAACAACUGAUUUCGACUCACUAGAUUAUGAUAUAUCAUAAUUACCAAU